rnacentral:lncRNA from 1 species
AAAAGUUAAAUCAAAACUUCAAACUUUCAUUUUUAUAUGUAUUCAUGCUUCUAUAUUUUUCAGCUUACAAUAGCCAGUGUUACAGUCGUGUACCUGGUAUUGGAAACAAGAGAAGAGGAAGGUGAGAAAUCAGCAAGGCAGUAAUCAACAAAGCAAAACAGUAACAGCAGUAGCUAAACCCAGCAACAUAUCUCAACAACACCCGGUAAAAUCAAACCAGAAAACACCAAGAGAAAUGGACUUUUAACUCACAGCAAUAUCGACACAAGCCAAAUGAACUCAAAGACACACUAGAGUUAUUUAAGAUCAGUCUUAGUGUGUUUGAAUCAAGAGAAAUGAAAUCAAUGAAGCAAAAAGAGAAGCUUCAAAUAAACAGUGGGGUUUUCAACUCUCUAAAAUUUUUCAGCUCUCAAUUAUUAUUAUUUUAUUCUCUGUUUUUUCGUCCUCUCAUGUUAUGAAAUUUCUCUCUCAAUAUUCCUUCCUUCCUAUAAGUGUAAAAUGAGUCAUAUUAUAUACCCAAAAGCAAGACUCCUUUCUUCUACCCUUUUACUAUUAUUACUACCCCUUUUAUUAUUACCCAUACUAUUUUUGAUUUUCAAUUAAGUAAAAAGCAGUCAACAUGGGUCCCAUGAUCCCCCUUUUCAAUGGUCAAAGAAGACCACAUUAUUACCCCAUCUUUAAAUAAUUAUGUCUUGUCCCCCACUAUGAUAUAUUAAUCAUACUUUUAUAUCUAGUGGACAAAGCACUCAACAUAAAUAAUUCAACAAGUUAUAAAUUCCAGUAUUACCCCCUAAAAUUAUUGAAAUUACCAUUCUACCCCAUCCCUUCAAUCUAUACAAAGUUAUCAACUCACCAACAUUAAUUCUUAAAAACACCAACUUACUACAGCUAUAACCAAAUUCCUAAUCAAAUUCAACAAUUAAGAAUAACUUUAAACAAAUCAGAUUCACAUUUAAAGAUAAACUUACAAAAUAAUAAGUAGCUUCAAAUUAUUAAAAUUAAUCAUCAAUUGAACUCCAAAUUAACCAAACCAAGAUGAAGGAUUCACUGACUAAACUAACACACUUUUAGAUUAACCCAAACAAGAACAAAUGAACACUGUAAACAUUUUGAACGAAAACAAACUGACUGCAUAUGCAAGAAAUGAUGGACAACAAAGUAAAAGCUCAACAGGCCACUACUAAAUAAUCACAAACAAACCAGAAUCUUAUUCAUAUACUCAUAUCAAAAUCAAGUGAAUAACCACCUACAUGCUAGCAGAGAACAAACAAAAAUCUGCUGAAUCAAAACAUAAAAAAUGCCAAAUAAGGCUUCGAACAGAUCUGGAAAAACACGACGAACCGUAGACAAUCCUCGACAUGGAAGCUUCGAAACUCACUGGAAGGUGAAAAGGAAAGGUAUGGUUGUGUGUGUGUGUAUAUUUGGAUUCAACUUCUCAUAGUCCAAGAUCCAAAUAACCAAGUUGUCUUCACCCUUUUCCUGUUGCGACGAAGCAGAAGCAGAUGGGGUCGUUUGGACGUGAGGUUCAACUAGCGGUUGUAGUGUUCGUUUGACUGAGAUGGUGACUAAAGCAGAAGCCGAUGGGGUCAUUUGGUUUUGUCGAUGGCUGGAGGAGAAGUUUACGUGAAGCAGCAGCUAUGGAGUCGCUCGCUGCUGCUCAUCUGGGUUCGACGGCGACUGAGGUCUGCUGGUGACUUGGGGUGGAUGGAGGUGGUCGUUUAGGACAGCAGCAAGCUUGUCCGGCGUGACGGGGCGACGGGAAAAUAAAUAGCAGUGGAGGGGGGAUGGAAUUAGGGUUUUUUCUUGGGGUUUUGGUGUGAUUUUCUUGAGGUUGAAGAAAGUAAACCAUGGAGUCUCCUAACGUUAUGUUUCCCUAAAUCUGUUCUAUGGUUGAGAAGAAGAUAGGUUAGGGAUGCUGAUAGGUUACAUGAGUCAGGUAAUUGGUUUGGGCUUGGGUUGGGUAUUUGGUUUGGACUUGGGAUAUUUUAAAUUGGAUAAGAGGC